AUUGAACGCUGGCGGCAGGCCUAACACAUGCAAGUCGAGCGGAUGAAGGGAGCUUGCUCUUGGAUUCAGCGGCGGACGGGUGAGUAAUGCCUAGGAAUCUGCCUGGUAGUGGGGGAUAACGUCCGGAAACGGGCGUUAAUACCGCAUACGUCCUGAGGGAGAAAGUGGGGGAUCUUCGGACCUCACGCUAUCAGAUGAGCCUAGGUCGGAUUAGCUAGUUGGUGGGGUAAAGGCCUACCAAGGCGACGAUCCGUAACUGGUCUGAGAGGAUGAUCAGUCACACUGGAACUGAGACACGGUCCAGACUCCUACGGGAGGCAGCAGUGGGGAAUAUUGGACAAUGGGCGAAAGCCUGAUCCAGCCAUGCCGCGUGUGUGAAGAAGGUCUUCGGAGUGUAAAGCACUUUAAGUUGGGAGGAAGGGCAGUAAGUUAAUACCUUGCUGUGAUGACGUUACCAAAAGAAUAAGCACCGGCUAACUUCGUG
rnacentral:rRNA from 1 species